rnacentral:rRNA from 1 species
GACAGAGGUGCCGAGCGUUAGGCGGAAUCACUGGGCUUAAAGCGUGUGUAGGCGGGUCGUUAAGUGUCUUGUGAAAUCCCCCGGCUCAACCGGGGAAUGGCUGGGCAUACUGGCGAUCUUGAGCAGUCUAGGGGCAGAUGGAACAAGUGGUGGAGCGGUGAAAUGCGUAGAUACCACUUGGAACGCCAACGGUGAAGACAGUCUGCUGGGGACUUGCUGACGCUGAGACACGAAAGCCAGGGGAGCGAACGGG